rfam:Chlorella variabilis unplaced genomic scaffold CHLNCscaffold_20, whole genome shotgun sequence.
GGGGCUGUAGCUCAUAUGGUAGAGCGUCCGCUUAGCACCGCUUUGCCACCGCUUAUCUGCGGAAGGUACCGAGUUCGAUUCUUGGCAGCUCCA